GACGAACGCUGGCGGCGUGCUUAACACAUGCAAGUCGAACGGACAGACAGAGAGCUUGCUCUCUUGAAGUUAGUGGCGAACGGGUGAGUAACGCGUAAUCAACCUGCCCUUCAGAGGGGGAUAACAACGGGAAACCGUUGCUAAUACCGCGUACGAUUCAUGAACGGCAUCGUUUAUGAAUGAAAGGUGGCCUCUAUGUAUAAGCUAUCGCUGAAGGAGGGGAUUGCGGCUGAUUAGCUAGUUGGAGGGGUAACGGACCACCAAGGCAAUGAGCAGUCGGCGGUCUGAGAGGAUGAACGGACACAUGGGGACUGAGACACGGCCCAAACUCCUACGGGAGGCAGCAGUGGGGAAUCUUCCGCAAGGGACGAAAGUCUGACGGAGCAACGCCGCGUGAGUGAUGAAGGUCUUCGGAUUGUAAAGCUCUGUUAAUCGGGACGAAAGAGUUCUGCGUGAAUAAUGCAGAAAAGUGACGGUACCGGAAUAGAAAGCCACGGCUAACUACGUGCCAGCCGCCGCAGUAA
rnacentral:rRNA from 1 species